GAGAGAGAGACCUCUCUCCACCCAUUGAAUUAAGAACAUUUUAUUUGUCAACGGAUCUCUCAUAAAAAAAAUAGUAUGGGUAUUAACAAAACUCUGAUAAAAUGUUUGUUCAUUGUGAUAUUAGCAGUUUCGAUGUUCAAUCACAAAGUUUUGACUUCAGGUGCAGAGAUCCAAAAAUUCUCAUAUGACCACUGUAAUACUUUGUGUUCGGAAACAUAUGGAUGGUUUGAGUGUCAACAUGACUGUUUUAGAGCUGGUUACACAGAUUUUGGAAGCUGUGCUUCCCGUUCUCCUAAAGAGCCUGAGCGAUGUUGUUGCCAAAACAAAUAGACUCAUCUUUUCUCUGAAAAUGGUGAUUUAACCUUUAAAAUCCUUAAACUAUUGCACUUGGUUUGUCUGUUGCAAUAAAUGGGACAAUAAAAAAAUAUGUUACAAUUAUACAUUCCAGUUUUUUUUCUCUGCACCUUGCAAACUUGAACUUGGAUUUUCCAUCAUUUUCAGUUAUAUAUUUACAGUUGUGAGUACCACUCAGAAUAUAAAACAUUUGAGUAUUAAAACUGUUAAUAUGAAAUAUCGAUUAUAUUAUUCAUUACUCAAAAUUUAAUUUUCAUACACUUUCUAUACAGUAGAAACAGAUAAUCAAACUUUUAUGAAUUGUUUCUUAUCAUUAUUCAUUACUCAAAUAAAUGCAAUAAGUUAUUUUGACAAAAUCUACAAAUUUAGCACAAAAUAUAUGGAAAUUAAUUAAUAGUAAGACUUUCCCAGAGACCAAAAAAUAUAUAUAUAUAGAGAGAGAGACCUCUCUCCACCCAUUGAAUUAAGAACAUUUUAUUUGUCAACGGAUCUCUCAUAAAAAAAAUAGUAUGGGUAUUAACAAAACUCUGAUAAAAUGUUUGUUCAUUGUGAUAUUAGCAGUUUCGAUGUUCAAUCACAAAGUUUUGACUUCAGGUGCAGAGAUCCAAAAAUUCUCAUAUGACCACUGUAAUACUUUGUGUUCGGAAACAUAUGGAUGGUUUGAGUGUCAACAUGACUGUUUUAGAGCUGGUUACACAGAUUUUGGAAGCUGUGCUUCCCGUUCUCCUAAAGAGCCUGAGCGAUGUUGUUGCCAAAACAAAUAGACUCAUCUUUUCUCUGAAAAUGGUGAUUUAACCUUUAAAAUCCUUAAACUAUUGCACUUGGUUUGUCUGUUGCAAUAAAUGGGACAAUAAAAAAAUAUGUUACAAUUAUACAUUCCAGUUUUUUUUCUCUGCACCUUGCAAACUUGAACUUGGAUUUUCCAUCAUUUUCAGUUAUAUAUUUACAGUUGUGAGUACUACUCAGAAUAUAAAACAUUUGAGUAUUAAAACUGUUAAUAUGAAAUAUCGAUUAUAUUAUUCAUUACUCAAAAUUUAAUUUUCAUACACUUUCUAUACAGUAGAAACAGAUAAUCAAACUUUUAUGAAUUGUUUCUUAUCAUUAUUCAUUACUCAAAUAAAUGCAAUAAGUUAUUUUGACAAAAUCUACAAAUUUAGCACAAAAUAUAUGGAAAUUAAUUAAUAGUAAGACUUUCCCAGAGACCAAAAAAUAUAUAUAUAUAGAGAGAGAGACCUCUCUCCACCCAUUGAAUUAAGAACAUUUUAUUUGUCAACGGAUCUCUCAUAAAAAAAAUAGUAUGGGUAUUAACAAAACUCUGAUAAAAUGUUUGUUCAUUGUGAUAUUAGCAGUUUCGAUGUUCAAUCACAAAGUUUUGACUUCAGGUGCAGAGAUCCAAAAAUUCUCAUAUGACCACUGUAAUACUUUGUGUUCGGAAACAUAUGGAUGGUUUGAGUGUCAACAUGACUGUUUUAGAGCUGGUUACACAGAUUUUGGAAGCUGUGCUUCCCGUUCUCCUAAAGAGCCUGAGCGAUGUUGUUGCCAAAACAAAUAGACUCAUCUUUUCUCUGAAAAUGGUGAUUAUAACCUUUAAAAUCCUUAAACUAUUGCACUUGGUUUGUCUGUUGCAAUAAAUGGGACAAUAAAAAAAUAUGUUACAAUUAUACAUUCCAGUUUUUUUUCUCUGCACCUUGCAAACUUGAACUUGGAUUUUCCAUCAUUUUCAGUUAUAUAUUUACAGUUGUGAGUACUACUCAGA